UACGGGGGGAGCAAACGUUGUUCGGAAUCACUGGGCGUAAAGGGCGUGUAGGCGGCUGGAUAAGUGGGAUGUUAAAUCCCCCGGCUCAACCGGGGACCUGCAUCUCAUACUGUUCAGCUCGAGCACAUCAGAGGAGACUGGAAUUCCUGGUGUAGCGGUGAAAUGCGUAGAUAUCUGGAGGAACACCGGUGGCGAAGGCGGCAUCCUGGACCGGUAUUGACGCUGAGGCGCGAAAGCUAGGGGAGCAAACGGGG
rnacentral:rRNA from 1 species